GAAUUACUACAAAAGAUGGUCAUUUCUUGCACAUUGCAAAUCUUCUUGCAUGCUGUGAUUUUUAUGUUAAGUUUGCAGAUUUAUGAUACCAGAGGAUAGAGAAGGAUAAGAUCUUCAGGCCCAUCUACUUAAUUUUCUAUUAAACAAAAGUGGAGUGUGAGAACAAGAUUUUUCAGUACCUAAAGAAAAACUAACACAAGAGGAAAUUCUGCUCAAUGGCAAUGAAUGGCAUACCUGAGAAUGCUGAUACAGCUUCCAGGGUGCUCAUAAGUGCUAGGACAUAGAAAACUGCUCAAAUUCCUCUCAGUCUCACCAAAACAGGCCAAAAAAGGAAAAAAAGAAAGAAAGAAAAAGAGAGAAUUGGCCCAUCCUACCUUGGUUGCCAUAUAAUGCAUGUCUGGGUGCAUUUACUUGCUCUAAGUGCUAAAGAACAAGAAAUCUUUGUAGCUCAAAGCAAAGAUACAAGCAUGAAUGUAGGGGAUGUGU
rnacentral:lncRNA from 1 species